rnacentral:rRNA from 1 species
AUAUUCUGUGAGCAGGAAAGCAGGGGAUCGCAAGACCUUGCGCUGAUUGAGCGGCCGAUAUCAGAUUAGCUUGUUGGUGAGGUAAAAGCUCACCAAGGCGACGAUCUGUAGCGGGUCUGAGAGGAUGAUCCGCCACACUGGAACUGAGACACGGUCCAGACUCCUACGGGAGGCAGCAGUGGGGAAUUUUGGACAAUGGGGGCAACCCUGAUCCAGCCAUGCCGCGUGGGUGAAGAAGGCCUUCGGGUUGUAAAGCUCUUUCAGCCGGGAAGAAAACGCAUGGGUUAAUACCCUGUGUGGAUGACGGUACCGGAAUAAGAAGCACCGGCUAACUACGUGCCAGCAGCCGCGGUAAUACGUAGGGUGCGAGCGUUAAUCGGAAUUACUGGGCGUAAAGCGUGCGCAGGCGGUUUUGUAAGACAGGCGUGAAAUCCCCGGGCUUAACCUGGGAACUGCGUUUGUGACUGCAAGGCUAGAGUACGGCAGAGGGGGGUGGAAUUCCACGUGUAGCAGUGAAAUGCGUAGAGAUGUGGAGGAACACCAAUGGCGAAGGCAGCCCCCUGGGUCGAUACUGACGCUCAUGCACGAAAGCGUGGGUAGCAAACAGGAUUAGAUACCCUGGUAGUCCACGCCCUAAACGAUGUCAACUAGGUGUUGGGAGGGUAAAACCUUUUAGUACCGGAGCUAACGCGUGAAGUUGACCGCCUGGGGAGUACGGCCGCAAGGUUAAAACUCAAAGGAAUUGACGGGGACCCGCACAAGCGGUGGAUGAUGUGGAUUAAUUCGAUGCAACGCGAAAAACCUUACCUACCCUUGACAUGCCAAGAACUUUCCAGAGAUGGAUUGGUGCCCGAAAGGGAACUUGGACACAGGUGCUGCAUGGCUGUCGUCAGCUCGUGUCGUGAGAUGUUGGGUUAAGUCCCGCAACGAGCGCAACCCUUGUCGUUAAUUGCCAUCAUUUAGUUGGGCACUUUAACGAGACUGCCGGUGACAAACCGGAGGAAGGUGGGGAUGACGUCAAGUCCUCAUGGCCCUUAUGGGUAGGGCUUCACACGUCAUACAAUGGUCGGUACAAAGGGGUCGCCAAGCCGCGAGGUGGAGCCAAUCCCAGAAAGCCGAUCGUAGUCCGGAUCGCAGUCUGCAACUCGACUGCGUGAAGUCGGAAUCGCUAGUAAUCGUGGAUCAGAAUGUCACGGUGAAUACGUUCCCGGGUCUUGUACACACCGCCCGUCACACCAUGGGAGCGGGUUCCGCCAGAAGUAGGUAGCCUAACCGCAAGGAGGGCGCUUACCACGGCGGGGUUCGUGACUGGGGUGAAGUCGGAACAAGGUA